ACAUUUAUCGUGAACAAAUGCGAAACACGUUCCUAGCACGAAUCACUGCGAAAGGCACGCUCAAAAAAAGAUAUACAUAUGAGAGACUGAAAGUAUGAGUACAGUCUUAACCUACUUACUCACACUCUCUAACCUACUUACUUUACGUACCACGAAAUCAAUUGUAUGACGCGUAGAGUGGAAUAACAAGCUUAUACACCAAUAAGAUAGACGCAUGGUAGGAGCGCGUUCCCUGCUUGAUUUGUAAUUCAUAUUUUGUACAUACCUGUCAUGAAGUCACAUACGUUUCAAUUAAAAGGUGAUGAACAGGUGAUGAGCCAAAUCAGAUAAUAAAAAUCGAAUAAACAAGCGAAAUAAUAAGUCGAUUAAUAAGUAAUACUUAGAAUUUCAAAAGUACAUUCAAAAUAUAUAUAUUGCGAGGUUUAAGAAGUUUUACAGAAAUUAUUAGUGGUAUUAUUUUUGUAAUAAUGUUAUCGCCUCAACUGACAGCUGCAAUGUUAUUAUGUAUGCCAAAGAUUAUAUUGGUAGGUAUCCUAUUAGAAAAAAGCAUGUAUAAAUUCUCUGCAGGAGUACAAAAAAAAAUUACAAAAGUUAUCACUGUCGGUGAAGAAGCUAUUCAAAAUAUACGAAUAGUAUACUAAGAAUUACACUAUACUUUAAAAUCUACCCAUAUGUUACAUCAAUAUAACAUUAAUUUGUAUAAUGACCAUUUUUUUAUAGGUAAGAACGUUUGCAACAGAAAACCAAGAAACAGAAAUAUUUUCUAAAGAAGUUGAACAUGAAUCUGAGUUAUAUAAAAAUUUAGGAUUAGAUAUUGAUUUAUUUCAAUCUUAAAUAUGUCACCAUCAUCAAUGAUGGUCAAAGGAAGGAUAAUAAAAGACCCUGUCAUAGAAUAUAAAAUUUGAGAAUGUGGAAUUUAGUUAUCCAAUUCAGCCGGAUCUCGUUAUUUUGAAGAAUUUUAAUUUGGCUAUUCCUAUUGGUAAAACAGUUUCUAUUGUAGGUUCUAGUGGAAAUGGUAAAUCAACCAUUGCUGUGCUAUUAAAACGGUAUGAUAUUUUAGAGAUGACAAAUUUGGAUUAUACGUAUAUUUUAUAAUGAUUUAUUGAGUUUUUUUUUACAGAUUUUAUAACAUAUUAUACGUAUAUUUUAUAAUGAUUUAUUGAGUUUUUUUUACAGAUUUUAUAACAUUGAUGAAAAUAGCAUUUCUAUUGAUAAAUUGGAUAUUACAUUUCUUAACUCUAACUAUCUUAGAUGUAUUGUAUUAGUGUAUAUAAAUCAAGAACCCAUAUUUUUUGCAACUAGUAUAAAGUGAAAUUGUUUAUAUCUUUUGGCACUUGAAAAAGUUUUCUUUGAGAUAUAUGAAGUAUACAGACAGUAAUUACUUGCUGUAUGAUACUUGUGUAUUACUUUGAAAACCAUCGAUGGAAUAAUGUGGGUACCGUUAACGCCGCUCUUUUAUUGGUGGGAUUUAUUCCCACGACAUCUGAUAGGAAAGCUAAGCUUCCUGAAUUUUAAUUUUCUAGCUAGAAUAUACGAAGGUAAACAAUUUCUCCUCUCCUGUAGUUGGUUUAAUAGAUUUCUAUUUUGUUUUUCCUUAAAAGUACUUCUCAAUAAUCGAUAGUUCAUUGAAAAUUAUAUUAUAAUCGUUUUUCUUGUACCUUUCUCUCUCUCUCUCUCUCUCUCUCUCUCUCUCUCUCUCUCUCUUGUUCUUUUUUAUUGUAUGUUAAUUCUUUUUCUGUAUUUUCUUAUCAAAUAUUAAUUAAUUGUUAUAAUAUUUUUUUUAUUUUUUUUCCAAAGUUCCUGGAGUUUUUUCUUUUUUUUCUUUUUUUCUUUACAAUUUACAAUUAGAAAUUAAAAAAUAUUGACAAUUGACAAUUAAUUUUUGUUUAUUUUUUUCAUUAAAAAUAUUUAUUAAUAAGAAUAAUAAUUUCUUCGAUUCUUUUCUAUCUCCUGAAAAUAUUAUGUUGUAUUUAUUUAAUAUUAUUUUUUAUUCUAAUUGAUAUAUCAUUAUUGGUUAAUAAAAUGUAAUUUCCUUUGGAAGUAGCUUAAGAUUGUUCAUCGCCCCUGCUUUUAUAAUAGUUACGUCAUCAAUGAACAUAGACAUAAUUCCUGAUUAGUUUUGAUGAACAGAACCUCAUUUUAAAGAUGAAGAUUUAAUCUAGGAUCUCUAUUUUUCGAAUUUUUGAAAAAGCUUUUUAUUUGUGUAUUAACUAUUCUCGAAAACAUCACUUUUUAACACGAUUUUUUUUCAAAGGAAAUAAAGCAUUUUCCACACCAAGCAUGAUGGUUUUAUCCAAAGACAAGUUUUGAUAUCAUUAAAAUGUAAAUAUUUCGUAAUUUAUUCAAAUUUUUUUCUGUUCAUUAAUUUUGAAAAGAUAAUUGUAGCCAAAUAUGGAUUCAUGAAUCAAUUUUUCUUUUCGUAUUUAUCCCAUCAAAAUAAGUAUUUCAAACAAUUUUUUUAUUUCUGAACUUGAGACAUUUCUCCAUUUUCCUUGUUUCGAAUUAGAUUUAUAUUUAUGUAAAUUUUUUAAAUAAUAAUGAUUUGUUUCCUCACAAAUAAUUUUGAAAAAUUCAUUGCCAAAUAUACAAUCGAUUGCUUCCUUCGCAUUGCAGUUUUUUUGUUAUGAUGUAGAUAUGCCAAACAUUCCUUUAAGAAGUUCCAAGUUGAGAAAAGUAUCUUUGUCUGUCCAUUCUUUAAUUAUAAGCUCAUCAAUCUUGAUCUUAAAAACCGGAUCUUCACUUCAC